rnacentral:rRNA from 1 species
CCUACGGGUGGCAGCAGUGAGGAAUAUUGGUCAAUGGACGAGAGUCUGAACCAGCCAAGUAGCGUGAAGGAUGACUGCCCUAUGGGUUGUAAACUUCUUUUAUAUGGGAAUAAAACGUUCCACGUGUGGGAUUUUGUAUGUACCAUAUGAAUAAGGAUCGGCUAACUCCGUGCCAGCAGCCGCGGUAAUACGGGGGAUCCGAGCGUUAUCCGGAUUUAUUGGGUUUAAAGGGAGCGUAGGUGGAUUGUUAAGUCAGUUGUGAAAGUUUGCGGCUCAACCGUAAAAUUGCAGUUGAAACUGGCAGUCUUGAGUACAGUAGAGGUGGGCGGAAUUCGUGGUGUAGCGGUGAAAUGCUUAGAUAUCACGAAGAACUCCGAUUGCGAAGGCAGUUCACUGGACUGCAACUGACACUGAGGCUCGAAAGUGUGGGUAUCAAACAGGAUUAGAUACCCUUGUAGUC